UGAAAUUGAAGAGGAACAUGGGGAGACAAGUACGAGCUGAAUAAACUUGAGCGGAAAGGUUGCCACAUGUCGCGCCGAUGGUACGCCUUCCCUGCACCCUAAUUUUCAUUAUUUAAUACUUCCUCAGUCUCAAAUUAUUGUCUUAGAUUUGUCUAGAUAGGGCUAAGACGACUAAUUCGGGCGGAGGGAGUAUAUGGCUACUGUCUUUUAAACUCAUACUGGUGUUGAACUAACCAUUGUUAUUUCCUUUCUGGCGUUUCAAGCAGCACCAGGAUGACUGAAGAAAAAGAAGAUCAAUGCCCUGAUGUUGAGUCUUCUUUGCUGUUGUUUCAAACUUUUUGGGACUCUGUCUAGGUCCCUACUCGCUGUCAUUUCUGUACUGCUGCUCUACUUUGGGUUGUUGUAUUCAUUGAUGUUUGAGUAUCUGCGCCUUCGUAUUUUCCGUUGGAGCUACAUCUGUGAUUGUCGGUCUACCGUAUCUAAUCAGAGAUGCAGGGAUUGGGGAUUGUUAUCCUGAAGCGUGGAUACUAACGGACUUAAUGCAUCUGUUCCG
rnacentral:lncRNA from 1 species